UCCUGGGAAAGGCACCCCUCCGCCCCAGGCCGCCUCGUGCUUAUGGCGCCGCCCCAGUCUUCCAAAUAGCUAACCUCGAACUAGGUGGGUCACUACCGCGCGAAGGCAAAUGACCUUCAAGGUCAGAAGCAAGCAAACCGUGGUCUCAACUCUCAGCUGGAAGUUGCCGGGAGAUCACUGUCGCUAGUGCCUGACAAGGCUCGCUCUCUCUCUCUUGGCAGGACGCGGCCCUCUGCGCCACCCCGUGGGAACCAAGGGUACCAAAACCUCCCGGGGAGACCGGCCUUGGACAAGAGAACGUUCCUCGCAAGCGGAUUUUUUUCCUCAUAUCGCUGUUUUUAAAGACUUUGUCUCUCUUGUCUCCCAAUCAAGAGAAUGAUUUGACUCUACCCUGUCCAGCCUAUCUACGCCCCGCUACCCCAACAGAUCUUAGUACACUUCACCCAGAAAUACUAUGACUCAUGUUAGGAGUUGAUUGCAUCCAUGGACAUAGAGCCCAAGGAUACAGAGGGCCUUGACUUUGAAUAAAUGAGACAGGAUCCUUAAGAAUUAUGCUAAAUCUACUUUGCCUGUGCUCUAUAAAUGGAGCAACAAGCCUGGAUUACAGCAUAUCUGUUUGCCACGUGGUUUUCUGAAUAUUUUAAGCCCAUUGUUGAGAUCUCCUGCUCAGAAGAAAAGAUUGCUUUCAAAAUAUGACUGCUCAUUGUCAAAGCACCUGGUCACCCAAGAGCUCUGAUGGAGAGAAGGAGAUCACCGGGGCCUAGCUGGGAGCACCAGGCCAGCUUCUGCCACCACCCAGACCUACCUCUAAGUGUCAGACCAGGACCCAGAUGUCGGCUGCUUUGUUCUUUCUCUACUGUUACUACGUGCUGGGCAGGGAGAAGGUGCAUGAUUUAAUUUGGAAAAUCUGAUUUCCUCAUGCUGGUCUCAUUCUGCACUACCACCUUGUGGAGGUCCCAUUUCUAAACAGGCACAUUCAUGACGGAGGGCAAGGUCACCUGUGUGUGGACAAGAUCUGUCUUUUUACAGACUGGUAAUACCUCUGCAACCGAGUCCUAGUACAAAUACAAUUUUGAGGGGAAAAGGAAAGGAACAUUUAAAUGCCUCUAGCUAGAUUCUCACUGACUUUAUUUAAAAUAAUGUAAAUGGAUGCUAAGUGAAAACAGGACCACAAUGGAAUCAUAGCUGUAAAGAAAACAAUUUAAUGCCAAAUGCCGGAUGCUUAAGUUUCUAGGUGAGAGACAUUCCAGAAUUCACUGUAAGCGUUUAAAAAAGUGUGUGCCUAAGCUUGACGUUUUGUGGGUUGACUACCUUAUCUUUCUACGUAAGCAAGAGACACCAGAGAGUUACUGGAAAACCGUGUCAUCUUGUUUCACAGACCGAAGUAGCCUUUGGUUCAUCCAGGAACAUCCCAUCCUCUGGACCUUCAGGACUGUAUCAUUGGGAGCAGAAAGGGCCAGGAGUGCCACACUAAGAAACAACCACCGGCAGGAACAGACUUGAAAUGGGAGCUGGGCUUGCUCUGAGGCCCUCGGCUGACAGUGACCACACCUGCUGGGUGCUGAGGGCGGUGCACAGGGAACAGAUGGCCUCUGCAUCUUCGGGGCUUUUCUUC